GACGAACGCUGGCGGCGUGCUUAACACAUGCAAGUCGAACGCUGAAGCUCAGCUUUUGUUGGGUGGAUGAGUGGCGAACGGGUGAGUAACACGUGAGUAACCUGCCUCCUUCUUUGGGAUAACGCCCGGAAACGGGUGCUAAUACUGGAUAUUCACUGGUCUUCGCAUGGGGGUUGGUGGAAAGGGUUUUUCUGGUGGGGGAUGGGCUCGCGGCCUAUCAGCUUGUUGGCGGGGUGAUGGCCUACCAAGGCUUUGACGGGUAGCCGGCCUGAGAGGGUGACCGGUCACAUUGGGACUGAGAUACGGCCCAGACUCCUACGGGAGGCAGCAGUGGGGAAUAUUGCACAAUGGGCGCAAGCCUGAUGCAGCGACGCCGCGUGAGGGAUGGAGGCCUUCGGGUUGUGAACCUCUUUCGCUCAUGGUCAAGCCGCAACAAUGGUUGUGGUGAGGGUAGUGGGUAAAGAAGCGCCGGCUAACUACGUG
rnacentral:rRNA from 1 species